rnacentral:rRNA from 1 species
UUCUUCUCAGUAAGUAGCUAACGCGGAAGUUCCCGCCUGGGGAGUACGGCCGCAAGGUUGAAACUCAAAGGAAUUGACGGGGACCCCACAAGCGGUGGAUGAUGUGGUUUAAUUCGAUGCAACGCGAAAAACCUUACCUACCCUACAUGUCUGGAAUCCUGAAGAGAUUUGGGAGUGCUCGAAAGAGAGCCAGAACACAGCUGCUGCAUGGCCGUCGUCAGCUCGUGUCGUGAGAUGUUGGUUAAGUCCCGCAACGAGCGCAACCCUUGUCAUUAGUUGCUACGAAAGGGCACUCUAAUGAGACUGCCGGUGACAAACCGGAGGAAGGUGGGGAUGACGUCAGGUCAUCAUGGCCCUUAUGGGUAGGGCUACACACGUCAUACAAUGGCCGGGACAGAGGGGGGAACAACCCGCGAGGGGGAGCUAAUCCCAGAAACCCGGUCGUAGUCUUAUCGUAGUGGAGAACUCGAGUGCGGAUUUUUCUCCCCCAAUGAGAGUUG